CUACGGGUGGCUGCAGUGAGGAGUAUUGCACAAUGGGGGGAACCCUGAUGCAGCAACGCCGCGUGGAGGAUGACGCAUUUCGGUGUGUAAACUCCUUUUAUAUGUCAAGAAAAUGACGGUAGCAUAUGAAUAAGCACCGGCUAACUCCGUGCCAGCAGCCGCGGUAAUACGGAGGGUGCAAGCGUUACUCGGAAUCACUGGGCGUAAAGGACGCGUAGGCGGGUUGGAAAGUCAGGUGUGAAAUCCUACAGCUUAACUGUAGAACUGCACUUGAAACUUCUAAUCUAGAGUAUGGGAGGGGGAGAUGGAAUUAGUGGUGUAGGGGUAAAAUCCGUAGAUAUCACUAGGAAUACCUAAAGCGAAGGCGAUCUCCUGGAACAUUACUGACGCUAAGGCGUGAAAGCGUGGGGAGCAAACAGGAUUAGAUACCAGCGUAGUC
rnacentral:rRNA from 1 species